ensembl:lncRNA LINC01913 long intergenic non-protein coding RNA 1913
GGGCAACGUGGAGAGAUGUAGGAAGUGAACCUGAAGCCUGACACACUCAAGGUCUCGGAACCGAAAAUAAUAGGAAUUGUUCUUAUUUUUCCAGUGGAAUCAAGCACAGAGAUGGGCACGCCUCUUUACAGAACCAAAGAUUCAGAACUGUGCCUUACCCUUUGCUUAUGAGGCGGAGGAGGAGGAAGAGAAAGAACCACCGCAAAGAGAGAUGGCAACAAAGUCUGAGGCCCAGGGUCACCACAAACCCGGGAGACAUGAGGCCAGGCCUGAGAGGCACAGGCAGGCUGAGGAAUGGACAGAAGAGCAACAGAGAAGCCUGGAGGAUGAAAGCCAACUCUGCAAAGAGCUUCCAAGAGUCUUCCUGCCACAGAAAUUCCACUUGGCCACAGAAAUGGCCCUGGCCCUGGGCCAGGAGAGAGGUGGCGACGAGCUGCUCAUGGCAAUGACUUUCAGUCAGCAUGUCUUACCUGUGCUUCCAAGGGUGGAGAUGCCACUUUGAGUAGGUCACUGGGUCAGGCAGGUCACAAACCAAGCUCCUCCUACACAGUGAGUUCACGGAGACAGAGAGAAGGAAGGGAAGGAGGUUCUCAGCUCUACUGAUUCCUUAGGUCAAGGAGGGACAGGGUCCCUGUACUUGGGGACCCUCCAGUCUGAUGGGAAGAUACAAGGCAACCCUCUUAGAGCCGUAGAAUGAAUGCCACCUAUAGUUCCUCCCUUCAGGAAGGAAAUCCAGUCUGA